UGCUAAGAGAUGAAGUUCAAGGAUGUUCUU
rnacentral:piRNA from 1 species